ACGAACGCUGGCGGCGUGCUUCACACCUGCAAGUCGAACGGAAAGGCCCUGCUUUUGUGGGGUGCUCGAGUGGCGAACGGGUGAGUAACACGUGAGUAACCUGCCCUUGACUUUGGGAUAACUUCAGGAAACUGGGGCUAAUACCGGAUAGGAGCUCCUGCUGCAUGGUGGGGGUUGGAAAGUUUCGGCGGUUGGGGAUGGACUCGCGGCUUAUCAGCUUGUUGGUGGGGUAGUGGCUUACCAAGGCUUUGACGGGUAGCCGGCCUGAGAGGGUGACCGGCCACAUUGGGACUGAGAUACGGCCCAGACUCCCACGGGAGGCAGCAGUGGGGAAUAUUGCACAAUGGGCGGAAGCCUGAUGCAGCAACGCCGCGUGCGGGAUGACGGCCUUCGGGUUGUAAACCGCUUUCGCCUGUGACGAAGCGUGAGUGACGGUAAUGGGUAAAGAAGCACCGGCUAACUACGUG
rnacentral:rRNA from 1 species